CCUACGGGAGGCAGCAGUGGGGAAUAUUGGACAAUGGGGGGAACCCUGAUCCAGCCAUGCCGCGUGUGUGAAGAAGGCCCUCGGGUUGUAAAGCACUUUCAGUGAGGAAGAACGCCUGGUGGUUAAUACCCAUCAGGAAAGACAUCACUCACAGAAGAAGCACCGGCUAACUCCGUGCCAGCAGCCGCGGUAAUACGGAGGGUGCGAGCGUUAAUCGGAAUUACUGGGCGUAAAGCGCGCGUAGGUGGCUUGAUAAGCCGGUUGUGAAAGCCCCGGGCUCAACCUGGGAACGGCAUCCGGAACUGUCAAGCUAGAGUGCAGGAGAGGAAGGUAGAAUUCCCGGUGUAGCGGUGAAAUGCAUAGAGAUCGGGAGGAAUACCAGUGGCGAAGGCGGCCUUCUGGACUGACACUGACACUGAGGUGCGAAAGCGUGGGUAGCAAACAGGAUUAGAUACCCGUGUAGUC
rnacentral:rRNA from 1 species